rnacentral:tRNA from 1 species
GCGCCCGUAGUUUAAUGGAUAAAACGUAGGGUUGCGGACCCUAAAACUGCAGGUUCGAUUCCUGCCGGGCGCA